ACGUACGACCAUAGGUCGCAGAAUAUAGGGCUUCCCGUCCGCUCAGCCGUACUCAAGCUGCGAACCGGCCGAUUAGUACUCAAGUGGGUGACCAUUGGGGUAUCCUAUUGGGGUAUCCC
rnacentral:rRNA from 1 species